rnacentral:rRNA from 1 species
CCGCCGGCGACCGGCGCACGGGUGAGUAACACGUAUGCAACCUGGCCGUGACAGAUGGAUAACCGGGAGAAAUCCCGCCUAAUACAACAUAAUGCCGGGAGGGGACAUCCCCUGGGCCGGCCAAAGGGGGCGACCCCGGUCACGGAUGGGCAUGCGGCGCAUUAGGUAGUUGGUGGGGCAACGGCCCACCAAGCCGACGAUGCGUAGGGGUUCUGAGAGGAAGGUCCCCCACAUUGGAACUGAGACACGGUCCAAACUCCUACGGAAGGCAGCAG